AGACUCUUAUACAAGCCACCAAGUGCAGUGAGACCCUUGGGUGACCUGCCAAAGAGCCGGUUUAGGGAUGACGCUGACAAACCAGGGAGGAAGCGCUGAGGAUUAGAUCCUACUGGCUAUCUCCUCUCAGCUCGGGUACCGGAAGGCCAAGAUCAGGUGAGGGCAGGGCUGUUCCUCUGGGGCCUCCUUCUUGUAGCCUCUUCACUGGGGUCCACACCUGGGAACUCUGUCAAUCCAGACUUCCUCUUCUGAAAGUCACCAGCCACACUGGAUAACAACCCACUCUAAAUGGCUUAAUUUUAAGUGUCAUCCUCUCGGGGAGACCCUGUUGCCAGGGCUGAGGUUGUAGCUCAGCUAGAACCCUUGCCUAGAAUGAAUGAAGCCAUAGGUUUGCUCUCCAUCAGAGAAUGGUGGUACACUCCUGUCAUCUCAGUACUUAGGCAGGAGGAUCAGAAGUCCGAGGUCAUCCUUGUCUACAUGGGGAAUUCGAGGCCAGCUUCAAAUACAGGGUGUUGGGGUAGUAGUAUUUUAAUGUGUAAAGUUGAAGGGAGACAUAAUUCUGUUUCUCAGAGUAGGACUGGAGUGUCCUGUACCCUAAGGGAUGACAGUUGUACCUCUCAACAGUCCCUGCUUAGCAGUGUGGGAGGGGUGCAUCAUGGCAGAAAGUGGAGGCCUGAGGCCUGACUCCCGAGACUGAUGGGAACAUGGAGAGAUGCCGCCACCACCUCCACCACCACCACCCUCCAUCCUGAGGUCAAUCCAGGACUCUUCUUUAUAAGGAGGAUGUGAAGAUUCUGUGGCACUUGGACAGGAAGUGAAGAGUACGCUAGAAGCCAGCUGUCUUCCCUUCCCUCUCCACCCCGUUCUUCCCUCUUCCCUUUUUUCACCAUCAAAAUCUGUUACUUACCGCAGACCAGAGAUACUCAUUUAUUUUCCCCUUGGGUGAUUUGCAGUUUAAUAGCUAGAAAAACCAGAGGGUGGAAUUUCAGGCUUCAGCUGGGGGGCGCACCGGGGUCUCAGGGAACAUUCUGUGAUGCUGAGCCAGCCACAAGCGCUAAAAGAGCUAAGAGGCCACCUGGAGGGUCUUACUCCUAAUAGGCUGCACACAGCUCGCUUCCAUUUCGCUCUAAAUUGCCCAGUCUGCUACCGUAGAUGCAAAGUGGGACCCUAAAAACUGCUUCUGCUGUGCAAAUAAGCAGGUGCCUGAGAACUCAGAGCGAGUUGCGGGUGGAGGGAAGUUGGAAAUGAAGCCAGACUUCAGAGUAACGAGGAGAUGAUUGUAAUUUGCCGUUGGGGAUCAAGCUGAGCUUGGAAUACAAAAAUUGUUUUCAAAUGUUCUCUUUGCUGUUUCGAUGUAUGUAGCCCGUGUUCUGUGAGGAUCAACUCCAUGAGGAGGGCUUUGCUGAGGCUGGGAUGUCAUGGGGGAGGGAACCUUCGGCCUUCUUGUGCUCAAAGCUGCUAGGAGCAGGAGCGCACCUGAGUGCUGGCAAUUCUGUCCAGUAAACAGAGGUUCACUCUAGGGAGGGCAGGAGUGGAUCCGUUGUGUUAUCUCAAGUGAAAGCCAUUUUGUCUUGGGUCACAGAGAGCUGUUGUCUUUUUUCAUUCCCUAUCCACCUGCCAUGACCUCUCAGGGGCUACCUGAUAUCCUGCCCCUACCACAUGCACCAUGUUGGGCUUGUCAUACAUGGAAAGGUCAAAAUAAUGGGACAUAUGGAGGUAGGCUCUUUUAAUAAGUACCCAGCCCUGGCUUCUGUAACCAAGACCUCUUCUCCCAACCUCAGAUCUGGGACCAGACCUUCACCUCUUCUUCCUCCUCUUCCUCCUCUUCCUCCCUUUUCUCCUCCUCUUCCUCCUUUUAGCCAUGUAGCACAGGCUGGCCUGGAAUGCCAUAUAUAGCCAAGAAUGGCUUUUAAACUCCUGACCCCCUCGAGUGCUGGGAUUCUUGGAACACACUGCUCUGCCUGGCUUAUGGCAGACUGAGGAGCAAACCCAGUGCUUUGUGCUUGCUAAGCAAGCUCUCCACCAACUGAGCCACAUUCCCAGCCCUGGGACCAGAUUCUCAAAUGUGAUUGACAGGAACAACAUCCCUGCUCUUCCCUUUAGGCCUCUGUCUGUGCCUGUGCUGGCCAGAAUGCCAGGACCCACAGAGAGGAGCAUGCUUGCUGGUUGCAUGUCCAGUUACCUGGGCAGUUUGUGAGUGACCUUUUCUGGGCAAGCCAGAAGGCUUAAUCCAGAAGGCUCAAUUUCAUCUGCCGCUCUCCUAGAUAAGGGCAGCCACUCUGGCCUGUUUUCAGCAAGAGCCUUGUUAGGUUGGUUCAGCCAGGCUGUCCUCGGGAAUCUCAGGGAUUCUCCGACUGCUAGCAGCCUGUGCCUUGGUUCUAGACUCCCACUUGCCUAUGUGACAGUGGUCCUGAAUAAAGUCUUCCCUGCUGUGUGUUACCCAGCAAUUCACACAAAGGAGCAAACAAUGUUUAUAAACACUUCUUCCUGAAGUCUUUGCAUUUUAGUAAGCAGCCAAUACUUUAGCUCAUUUGAAAACUUUUUAAGAGUUUAUUUACAUUAUGUAUAUAAGCAUUUUUCUUUGGUUGUGUAUAUGCAUAUGUAUAUGUAUAUGUAUAUGUAUAUGUAUAUGUAUAUGUAUAUGUAUCUCACAUGCAUGCAGUACCCAAAGAGCCCAGAAGAGGAUGCUAGAUCACUGAGAACUGGAGUUAACAUUUUGAGUUGGCAUGUAGAUCCUAAGAACGGAACCUAGGUCCUCUGCAAGAGCAACAAGUGCUCUUGAUUCUGAGACAUUGUCCCAGUAUCCCACCCCAACCCCGACUGGAUUUUUUUAAUGGGAAAGGAAAAAACAAAAGCUUGAAAUAUAAGUAGUCUGAUGGAUCAGUGAGAAGCCCCUGGGAGCCACGUUUUCGGAGCCACGUCUUCUGAAUGCUCCCAAACUAGAGACAUCCUAUUGUACAUGCAUCAGAAGUGAAGGCCCAUUUGCUUCCUUCUCCAAAGGCCUGAUGAAACUGCAGGUCAAGAUUCCUGUGCCCAUUGUAGGAGAGUGUCCACCGUAAGCCAGAUACUUCAGCGGAAUGGAGAAUCAAAACUGAAGGGUCUGGCCUUUGGCUUUGGUGGCAGAGUGCUCACCUAGUAUGCUAGAAGCCCUGGGUUCUAUCUCCAGAACCCUAUAAACUGGCUGUUAUCGAAACACUCUGGAGGUGAAUCAGGAAGAACAGAAGUUCAAGGUUAUUCUAUGAAUCUAGGUCAAGGCCAGCCUGGGCGACCUGAGAUCCUUUCCCAAAAAAGAUAGCAUUUAAGAUAACUUGUCUUU
rnacentral:lncRNA from 1 species